UUCAGUUUUGGGUCUAUGUGUGAAACCAAGCAUGCCUUAAACAAGGAAGACAAGCUUUUCAAAGGUGCAAUUGGAUAACUUCUGCCAUAGAAAUGGCUGAAUUGGGACACAAGUGGGGACAAUUCCAGAAGAAGGGCACAUCUCUUUCUUUUCUGCAGUUCUUUCUCACCUUCUCAACUCCUACUAAAAUGUCUCAUUUUCAGGUUCUGUAAAUCCUGCUAGUCUCAGGCAAAAUUAUGCUCCAGGAGUCUCAAAUUUUCUUAUUUCAUAUUAGUCUUUAUUUAGUAGACUUCUUAAUUUUUCUAUUCAUCACAAGUAAAAGCCUGUUGAUCUUAAUCAGCCAAGAAACUUAUCUGUCUGGCAAAUGACUUAUGUAUAAAGAGAAUCAUCAAUGUCAUGAGCUCGGUUAAUGAAAAAAUGGACACAGAAAGUAAUAGGAGAGCAAAUCUUGCUCUCCCACAGGAGCCUUCCAGUGUGCCUGCAUUUGAAGUCUUGGAAAUAUCUCCCCAGGAAGUAUCUUCAGGCAGACUAUUGAAGUCGG
rnacentral:lncRNA from 1 species